CGGGGUGUAGCUCAGCUUGGUUAGAGUACUUGACUGGGGGUCAAGGGGCCGGAGGUUCGAAUCCUCUCACUCCGACCA
rnacentral:tRNA from 1 species